GACGGAGGGGGCUAGCGUUGUUCGGAAUGACUGGGCGUAAAGGGCGCGUAGGCGGUUUAUUAAGUGAGGCGUGAAAGCCCUGGGCUUAACCCAGGAGGUGCGUUUCAUACUGGUAGACUUGAGUACGAGAGAGGAAAGCGGAAUUCCUAGUGUAGAGGUGAAAUUCGUAGAUAUUAGGAAGAGCACCAGAGGCGAAGGCGGCUUUCUGGCUCGUAACUGACGCUGAGGCGCGAAAGCGUGGGGAGCAAACAGG
rnacentral:rRNA from 1 species